rnacentral:rRNA from 1 species
AGUGGGGAAUCUUAGACAAUGGGCGCAAGCCUGAUCUAGCCAUGCCGCGUGAGUGAUGAAGGCCUUAGGGUCGUAAAGCUCUUUCGCCAGGGAUGAUAAUGACAGUACCUGGUAAAGAAACCCCGGCUAACUCCGUGCCAGCAGCCGCGGUAAUACGGAGGGGGUUAGCGUUGUUCGGAAUUACUGGGCGUAAAGCGCGCGUAGGCGGACCAGUCAGUCAGAGGUGAAAUCCCGGGGCUCAACCCCGGAACUGCCUUUGAUACUGCUGGUCUUGAGUUCGAGAGAGGUGAGUGGAAUUCCGAGUGUAGAGGUGAAAUUCGUAGAUAUUCGGAGGAACACCAGUGGCGAAGGCGGCUCACUGGCUCGAUACUGACGCUGAGGUGCGAAAGCGUGGGGAGCAAA